rnacentral:ncRNA from 1 species
UUCACAUUUUGAUAUUUAUAUUUUGAUUUUGUAUGACCCCGUAGAGACUUUCUUGAUUAAAUCAAGAUAAUAGAGGAGCACCCUUUAUUAUACGUCGGUCCCCGGAUUAUAUCCGGGUGAUGGUAUAGUCCAUACAUUUAGUAAUAGAUGAUUAAUGCGUGAGACAGGUUGGUCCCUAUCUACCGCAGGCGUUGAGUUUUGAGGGGGGUUCGAGAUAGUACGAGAGGACCUCUCGGAGCUAACCUCUGGUGUACCAGUUGUCGCGCCAGCGGCACUGCUGGGUAGCUAAGUUAGUAAGGGAUAAGCACUGAAAGCAUAUAAGUGCGAAGCCCGCCCCAAGAUUAGAACUCUUAGAUUCCUCAGAGAUUAUGAGGUUGAUAGGCUCCAGGUAUAAGUGGGGUAACCCAUUCAGCCGAGGAGUACUAAUAAUCAAUUAUAUUUUUAGA